rnacentral:misc_RNA from 1 species
GGGGGUAUCUUUUGCUGGCUUUUUCUUUUACAGAAGGUCAGCUCCCCUGAAAUGUAUUAGUGGUGUCUGAGCUACUGCUAUAGGUGUGAUAAUUAUCUAUGCCUUUGGUAUACUGCAUGAACAGAUUGGACUGCUUAUAACAAACAAUUGAAUUUGACAAAUCUGACCUCAAAUCAGGUAGGACUACCCGCUGAACUUAA